CACGUAGGAGGCGAGCGUUGUCCGGAAUCAUUGGGCGUAAAGAGCGCGCAGGCGGCUUGGCAAGUCGGGUGUGAAAUCCCGGGGCUCAACCCCGUGACUGCAUCCGAUACUGUCAGGCUAGAGGUAGGUAGGGGAGAUCGGAAUUCCUGGUGUAGCGGUGAAAUGCGCAGAUAUCAGGAGGAACACCGGUGGCGAAGGCGGAUCUCUGGGCCGAAACUGACGCUGAGGAGCGAAAGCGUGGGGAGCGAACAGG
rnacentral:rRNA from 1 species